UCCUGGUUAGCUCAGCUUGUAAAGAAUCUGCCUGCAAUGCAGGAGACCCUGGUUCGAUUCCUGGAUCAGGAA
rfam:Ovis aries breed Texel chromosome 1, whole genome shotgun sequence.